UAAUACAGAGGGUGCGAGCGUUGUCCGGAAUCACUGGGCGUAAAGGGCGCGUAGGUGGCUCGUUAAGCGUGUGGUGAAAGCCUGGGGCUCAACCCCAGGUCUGCCGUGCGAACUGGCGAGCUUGAGCAGAGUAGAGGCGGGUGGAAUUUCGGGUGUAGCGGUGGAAUGCGUAGAUAUCCGAAAGAACACCGGUGGCGAAGGCGGCCCGCUGGGCUCUUGCUGACACUGAUGCGCGACAGCGUGGGGAGCAAACAGGAUUAGAUACCCUGGUAGUCCACGCCGUAAACGAUGGGUACUAGGCGUCUGGGGGAGCGACCCCCUGGGUGCCGGCGCUAACGCAUGAAGUACCCCGCCUGGGGAGUACGGCCGCAAGGCUG
rnacentral:rRNA from 1 species